GAGGCAUACUUAGUUAGGUGAACAAAGCAGAAAACAGAUACCGCUAUCGGAAUUAUUAAUUUAAUGACGUCUAACAUUGCAGUUGCGGAGACACAACUUCUACACUACGGAAAUGUAGAUCUGGAUUCGACACCGUGGCUAACUCAGACACAGUGUUUAUCUUUUUGUGAUUCAAAGCUGUCGACCUUUACUCUUUUUCCACGGAUGACAUUGAAACUGCUACAUAAAUGGUCCAUGGAAUUACGCUGGAAAAAAUAAAGAAUGUUACAAAGACUGCCGCAGCACGUUAGAGAUGGGUUACCUAGGUUCCUCAAACUUAUGCGUUUACAAAUAUCAGUGAUUUCAACGAAAAUUAAAAAUUAGUUAAGUGCAUUCUAACAUAAAAGCUAAAAAGGACUCCAGUUCUAGUGGAGAAAUUCACAUUCCCAUCUGGUGAUUUUAAAGACAAAUAGUUCUUUGUUACACACUGAGCUGACUACAUAUACGUACACGGGAAUAGAGAUGACUGUCUCUAUACAUCUGUAGGGAA
rnacentral:lncRNA from 1 species